AGUGAACGCUGGCGGUAGGCCUAACACAUGCAAGUCGAACGGCAGCACAGUAAGAGCUUGCUCUUACGGGUGGCGAGUGGCGGACGGGUGAGGAAUACAUCGGAAUCUACUUUUUCGUGGGGGAUAACGUAGGGAAACUUACGCUAAUACCGCAUACGACCUACGGGUGAAAGCAGGGGAUCUUCGGACCUUGCGCGAUUGAAUGAGCCGAUGUCGGAUUAGCUAGUUGGCGGGGUAAAGGCCCACCAAGGCGACGAUCCGUAGCUGGUCUGAGAGGAUGAUCAGCCACACUGGAACUGAGACACGGUCCAGACUCCUACGGGAGGCAGCAGUAGGGAAUAUUGGACAAUGGGCGCAAGCCUGAUCCAGCCAUACCGCGUGAGUGAAGAAGGCCUUCGGGUUGUAAAGCCCUUUUGUUGGGAAAGAAAAGCAGCAGGUUAAUACCCCGCUGUUCCGACGGUACCCAAAGAAUAAGCACCGGCUAACUUCGUG
rnacentral:rRNA from 1 species